rnacentral:rRNA from 1 species
UUCUACCUACGGGAGGCAGCAGUGAGGAAUAUUGGUCAAUGGCCGAGAGGCUGAACCAGCCAAGUCGCGUGAGGGAUGACGGUCCUACGGAUUGUAAACCUCUUUUGCCGGGGAGCAAGCGUGCGUUCGUGAACGCGCGUCGAGAGUACCCAGAGAAAAAGCAUCGGCUAACUCCGUGCCAGCAGCCGCGGUAAUACGGAGGAUGCGAGCGUUAUCCGGAUUUAUUGGGUUUAAAGGGUGCGUAGGCGGUCCGUUAAGUCAGCGGUAAAAUUGCGGGGCUCAACCCCGUCGAGCCGUUGAAACUG